GCCAGGUGCAGUGGUGCACACCUGUAAUCCCAGCAGCUCAGGAGGCUGAGGCAGGAGGAUCACAAGUUCAAAUCCAGCCUCAG
rnacentral:sRNA from 1 species